AGAGUUUGAUCAUGGCUCAGAACGAACGCUGGCGGCGUGGAUAAGACAUGCAAGUCGAACGAGAGAAUUGCUAGCUUGCUAAUAAUUCUCUAGUGGCGCACGGGUGAGUAACACGUGAGUAACCUGCCCCCGAGAGCGGGAUAGCCCUGGGAAACUGGGAUUAAUACCGCAUAGUAUCGAAAGAUUAAAGCAGCAAUGCGCUUGGGGAUGGGCUCGCGGCCUAUUAGUUAGUUGGUGAGGUAACGGCUCACCAAGGCGAUGACGGGUAGCCGGUCUGAGAGGAUGUCCGGCCACACUGGAACUGAGACACGGUCCAGACACCUACGGGUGGCAGCAGUCGAGAAUCAUUCACAAUGGGGGAAACCCUGAUGGUGCGACGCCGCGUGGGGGAAUGAAGGUCUUCGGAUUGUAAACCCCUGUCAUGUGGGAGCAAAUUAAAAAGAUAGUACCACAAGAGGAAGAGACGGCUAACUCUGUGCCAGCAGCCGCGGUAAUACAGAGGUCUCAAGCGUUGUUCGGAAUCACUGGGCGUAAAGCGUGCGUAGGCUGUUUCGUAAGUCGUGUGUGAAAGGCGCGGGCUCAACCCGCGGACGGCACAUGAUACUGCGAGACUAGAGUAAUGGAGGGGGAACCGGAAUUCUCGGUGUAGCAGUGAAAUGCGUAGAUAUCGAGAGGAACACUCGUGGCGAAGGCGGGUUCCUGGACAUUAACUGACGCUGAGGCACGAAGGCCAGGGGAGCGAAAGGGAUUAGAUACCCCUGUAGUCCUGGCAGUAAACGGUGCACGCUUGGUGUGCGGGGAAUCGACCCCCUGCGUGCCGGAGCUAACGCGUUAAGCGUGCCGCCUGGGGAGUACGGUCGCAAGAUUAAAACUCAAAGAAAUUGACGGGGACCCGCACAAGCGGUGGAGUAUGUGGCUUAAUUCGAUGCAACGCGAAGAACCUUACCUGGGCUUGACAUGUAAUGAACAACAUGUGAAAGCAUGCGACUCUUCGGAGGCGUUACACAGGUGCUGCAUGGCCGUCGUCAGCUCGUGUCGUGAGAUGUUUGGUUAAGUCCAGCAACGAGCGCAACCCCUGUUGCCAGUUACCAGCACGUGAAGGUGGGGACUCUGGCGAGACUGCCCAGAUCAACUGGGAGGAAGGUGGGGACGACGUCAGGUCAGUAUGGCCCUUAUGCCCAGGGCUGCACACGUACUACAAUGCCCAGUACAGAGGGGGCCGAAGCCGCGAGGCGGAGGAAAUCCUGAAAACUGGGCCCAGUUCGGACUGUAGGCUGCAACCCGCCUACACGAAGCCGGAAUCGCUAGUAAUGGCGCAUCAGCUACGGCGCCGUGAAUACGUUCCCGGGUCUUGUACACACCGCCCGUCACAUCAUGGAAGCCGGUCGCACCCGAAGUAUCUGAAGCCAACCGCAAGGAGGCAGGGUCCUAAGGUGAGACUGGUAACUGGGAUGAAGUCGUAACAAGGUAGCCGUAGGGGAACCUGCGGCUGGAUCACCUCCUU
rnacentral:rRNA from 1 species